rnacentral:tRNA from 1 species
GUAAAGAGAGGAUCACACCCCGUAAAUGGAAUUACAACCCACCACCUAUUCUCAGCCAUC